rnacentral:rRNA from 1 species
GGACCCGCACAAGUAGUGGAGCAUGUGGUUUAAUUCGAAGAUACGCGCAGAACCUUACCAACACUUGACAUGUUCGUCGCGACUUUAAGAGAUUAAAGUUUUCGGUUCGGCCGGACGAAACACAGGUGCUGCAUGGCUGUCGUCAGCUCGUGUCGUGAGAUGUUGGUUAAGUCCCGCAACGAGCGCAACCCUCACUUUUAGUUGCCAUCAUUUAGUUGGGCACUCUGAAAGAACUGCCAGUGAUAAGCUGGAGGAAGGUGGGGAUGACGUCAAGUCCUCAUGGCCCUUACGUGUUGGGCUACACACGUGCUACAAUGGUAUAUACAACAGGAAGCAAGACGGCGACGUGGAG